ACUCCUACGGGAGGCAGCAGUGGGGAAUAUUGCACAAUGGGGGGAAACCCUGAUGCAGCCAUGCCGCGUGUGUGAAGAAGGCCUUCGGGUUGUAAAGCACUUUCAGUAGGGAGGAAGGUAGUGUAGUUAACACCUGCAUUAUUUGUACGUUACCUACAGAAGAAGCACCGGCUAACUCCGUGCCAGCAGCCGCGGUAAUACGGGAGGGUGCGAGCGUUAAUCGGAAUUACUGGGCGUAAAGCGCAUGCAGGCGGCCUGUUAAGUCAGAUGUGAAAGCCCGGGGUCUUAACCUCGGAAUUGCAUUUGAAACUGGCGAGGCUAGAGUCUUGGUAGAGGGGGUUAGAAUUUCGAGGUGUAGCGGUGAAAUGCGUAGAGAUCUGAAGGAAUACCGAGUGGCGAAGGCGG
rnacentral:rRNA from 1 species